GAUGAAGAACGCAGCGAAAUGCGAUAAGUAAUGUGAAUUGCAGAAUUCAGUGAAUCAUCGAAUCUUUGAACGCACAUUGCGCCCCCUGGUAUUCCGGGGGGCAUGCCUGUUCGAGCGUCAUUUCACCACUCAAGCCUCGCUUGGUAUUGGGCAACGCGGUCCGCCGCGUGCCUCAAAUCGACCGGCUGGGUCUUCUGUCCCCUAAGCGUUGUGGAAACUAUUCGCUAAAGGGUGUUCGGGAGGCUACGCCGUAAAACAACCCCAUUUCUAAGGUUGACCUCGGAUCAGGUAGGGAUACCCGCUAAACUUAAGCAUAUCAAUAAGCGGAGGA
rnacentral:misc_RNA from 1 species